AUGUCGUCCGGUGAGGCUACCACUUCUGCUGUUGCUGCUGCCGCUUCUGUUCCUGAGCUCAUCGUCGUUGGCGCUGGCCGGCGUCGACGGGACUGGACAGUACCGGCCGGCCCGGCGGCUGCUGGUGACGCCGCCGUCGACGCACAAGUCGGAGCAGCGGAUGCGGGUGGACGGCGCGAAGAAGCCCUUCAGGAACGCCGGCGCGAUCCUGGGGCGCCGGAAGAUACCGCGCUCCGUCUGGAAUCCCAUCCACAACAGAUAAAAGGCGUAGACGGACUAGAUGGCCACAGAGCAUCUAGGCAGUGA
rnacentral:rRNA from 1 species